rnacentral:rRNA from 1 species
AAAUUGAAGAGUUUGAUCAUGGCUCAGAUUGAACGCUGGCGGCAGGCCUAACACAUGCAAGUCGAACGGUAACAGGAAGCAGCUUGCUGCUUCGCUGACGAGUGGCGGACGGGUGAGUAAUGUCUGGGAAACUGCCUGAUGGAGGGGGAUAACUACUGGAAACGGUGGCUAAUACCGCAUAACGUCGCAAGACCAAAGAGGGGGACCUUCGGGCCUCUUGCCAUCAGAUGUGCCCAGAUGGGAUUAGCUUGUUGGUGAGGUAACGGCUCACCAAGGCGACGAUCCCUAGCUGGUCUGAGAGGAUGACCAGCCACACUGGAACUGAGACACGGUCCAGACUCCUACGGGAGGCAGCAGUGGGGAAUAUUGCACAAUGGGCGCAAGCCUGAUGCAGCCAUGCCGCGUGUAUGAAGAAGGCCUUCGGGUUGUAAAGUACUUUCAGCGGGGAGGAAGGUGUUGUGGUUAAUAACCGCAGCAAUUGACGUUACCCGCAGAAGAAGCACCGGCUAACUCCGUGCCAGCAGCCGCGGUAAUACGGAGGGUGCAAGCGUUAAUCGGAAUUACUGGGCGUAAAGCGCACGCAGGCGGUCUGUCAAGUCGGAUGUGAAAUCCCCGGGCUCAACCUGGGAACUGCAUUCGAAACUGGCAGGCUUGAGUCUUGUAGAGGGGGGUAGAAUUCCAGGUGUAGCGGUGAAAUGCGUAGAGAUCU